rnacentral:rRNA from 1 species
CAGUCGCCGCGGUAAUACGAAGGUCCCGAGCGUUGUUCGGAAUCACUGGGCGUAAAGGGAGCGUAGGCGGCGUGGUAAGUCAGAUGUGAAAUCCCGGGGCUCAACCCCGGAACUGCAUCCGAUACUGCCAUGCUAGAGGAUUGGAGAGGUAGCUGGAAUUCUUGGUGUAGCAGUGAAAUGCGCGGAGAUCAAGAGGAACACCGGUGGCGAAGGCGGCAACCUGGCUCAUUACUGACGCUGAGGCGCGAAAGCGUGGGGAGCAAACAGGAUUAGAGACCCCAGUAGUCCCUGUCUCUUAUAC